GUCUGAGAUCAGGGUGCCAGCAUGGUUUGAUUCUGGUGAGAGCCCGCUUCCUGGCUUGUGGGCGGCUGCCUUCUUGAAGUGUCCUCACAUGGUGGAGAGACAGAGAAAGAGUUACCCAGGGGCAACUACAUUCUGGAAGCAGAUGAUUCUCCUUCUGACGUAUCAUCAGAAGGUCAAUAGUAGCCUAACAUUAUGUCACGCCUACAUCAUUCACUUUACUUCAUCUCCUCACAUAGUCAUUUUGUCAACUGGCUCAUCACAAGACGGGAUGAGAGAAGAUCACCAGGCAGCGAGAAGGAGAAGAACAUUCCAGAGAGGUGGAGAACACAAUAAAUGGCCCAGAGAUGAAGCUGCACAGAAGGGAAGCUGAAGAAGCCGAGCCAUAUGUUUUGGAUCAAAGCAGGUCUAAUGGAUCCUGUGGAUGCCACAGAGAGGACGGGGAUGGCCAAAGUUAAGGCGUCAAAGAUGUGGGGGACAUAGACUGAAAUCCCUCCCUCCUCUGUGCAUUACCAGCAUCCUCCUUCCUCACAGACAGUUAAAGACUCUGGAACUCAAGGAUGGAGAAAGAAGAGGAUGAGAGAUCAUCACUGGCUGAGCCUAAGAUGUGAAAUGUGAUAGUAACUGGCAAUUACCUUGUAUCCAUGGCUUUCCUGCAUAUUUGAGGCCAUCGCCCUCUCAGAACUAAGGCACUCAUGUCCCCAGCUGCCGGGAAUGUUGGUGGCUGACAGCUCGUGAUUGAUUCCUGCAGCUGAGAUUGUUCUUUGUUAAAGAGAACUGCCUGAGCUAAACUCACAUCGCCUUCCUGAGAGCAGUCCAAGUUUGGUGACUGGUCAGAGAUGUAAGGCCAGACCCUUUGCCCCAAUUUGGGAUGACAAUACAGAGUCACCCCAGCUUCAGAGAAAAACCAUGUGGUUGGCUGGGAUCUUUCCAUGCCAUGUGGUUGAAGGAAGGCUCAAAAGCAUCAAGAAAGUAGGCAAUAAUGGGUAUACCAGUAAAAGUUGGAAAACCUACCAGAUGAUUCUGAUCUACAAGAAGGCCCAGAAAGCAUACUACUGAACAAAACAGCGAAGAAUACGCUACUGCAAGGGACAGAAGCGUUGCAGGGAAGGUCAGUGGUGGCCAACAUUGGUAGACCACACCUGCCAAUGGGAGAUUUUACAGAAUUAGGCUCCCUGCUAGGAGGGAGGGAGGGGCAUUUAGUCAUCUGAAGCAAAGUGGGUGCAAUUAUUGUGAUGAGCAUCAAGGACAAAGUGGAAAUUUCUAAAUAUAUAUCGUUAGACUUGCUAGAGCAGAAAUAUCUGGAGAAAAAAAUAUGUAUAUAUAUUCCAUCCAAUUCCGUCCAAUAUAUAUAUAUUCCAUCCCAUACCUACAGAACUACAAUCUUCGUGGGUGGGUCCCAGGAAUGUGUAUUUUUUAAAGUUCUCUGCAUGAUUCUGGUGUGCAAGUUAAUUUAGGAAGGGCUGCUACAUCAGGAACUCAAACCCAAAUCAGCCUAAGAUGUAUAUACAUCUUGCUCCAUCUUCCUGUUCCAGUUUAUUACAGAAUGGAGAGGCAAAAAUGGUCAAAAGUUUGGUACUACUGGGGCGCCUGGGUGGCUCAGUCAGUUAAGCAUCUAUCCUCAACUCAGGGUGUGAUCCCAGGGUCCUGGGAUCGAGCCCCGCAUUGGGCUCCCUACUCACUCUC